rnacentral:snoRNA from 1 species
GGCCGAUGACGACGGCACCGAUUCCGAGCCGGUCUCGGCAACCGGCGAUGAGGAGCCCUAUGAGUGCCGAGGCC